rnacentral:rRNA from 1 species
GUGUCAGCAGCCGCGGUAAGACGAACCGUGCGAACGUUAUUCGGAAUCACUGGGCUUAAAGCGCGUGUAGGCGGAUGGGGACGUCGGUCGCUGAAAUACCCCGGCUCAACCGGGGAACGGGCGCCGAAACGCCCCGUCUCGAGGGACGUAGGGGGACCUGGAACUUCCGGUGGAGCGGUGAAAUGCGUUGAGAUCGGAAGGAACGCCCGUGGCGAAAGCGAGGUCCUGGACGUCUACUGACGCUGAGACGCGAAAGCUAGGGGAGCGAACGGGAUUAGAUACCCCGGUAGUCCUAGCCGUAAACGAUGGGCACUAGGUAGGGGGCUCGCCGAUGGGCUCCCUGCCGUAGGGAAACCGUGAAGUGCCCCGCCUGGGGAGUAUGGUCGCAAGGCUGAA